rnacentral:SRP_RNA from 1 species
UGCCGGGUCCUUCCAGGAACCCUUCUGAUAACCCCGCUAGGCCCGGAAGGGAGCAACGGUACCCAGAAGUCUCCGUGAGAAGGGGUGCCCGGCACUU